UUUCGAGAAAAAAAAACAGAGAGAGAUUUGACAAAAAGUUGACUUUUUGAUCCGUUGCUCGUAUGGACGAUCGGAGACCGCGGUUGCGUUCAUCUCGUCGAGACGAACCCAUUUUGCUAUUCAUAUGUCCGUUCCGAGCACUUUGUGACCCGUAGCAAGCCUAAUAAAUUUAGACCGUUGGUUGUUUUAUAAAAAAAUAAAAAAAAUUGGAUAAAUACCGGAUGGAUCGGCCCUCAACCCGAUCCAUCCAGCCUCGUGUUUAUCCACUCGCUCAUUUCUUUCUUUCUCUCUCUCUCCCAGCCAGCUUGUGCCGUGCUGUCGCCGAGCGCCGUCGUCCACCUGCCGUCGCCGGCCUGCUCGUCGCCGCCACCGCCGCGCCGCUGUUGCUCGCCGUCGCGCUGCCGCGCGCCUGCGUGCUGCGCUGCGUGCUGCCGCCGCCGCGUGCUGCUGUCUGCUUGCCGUGCGUGCGCGUCGCGUGCUGCUGCGUGUCGCUGCCGAGCCGUCGUGUCGUCGUGCCGCUGUGCUUUGUGCCGGCUGCCGCAUGCUGUGCACUAACCGAAGCAAGCCAGGAAGAGAGAAGCUAGAAGAAGCAAGGAAGAAAGAAAGAAGAAGCAAGAAAGAAGAAGCCAGGAAGGAAGAAAGGAAAAGAAGGAAAGAAAAGAAAAGAAAGAGAAAAGAAAAAAGGAGAAAAAGGGAAAAAGGGGAAAAGAGGAGAAAGUUGGAAAUUUCGUAAUUUUGUUGGAUUCCUCGUCGAUUCCAUCGAAGGUGAUUCCUCGGUGGUACUAUUUCCGGACGUUCUUGAUCGAAUUUUCUUCAUCGUCGGUAAAGGCAAGUGAAUGUAUUGUAUGACUAUGCUUUAACCUAAUAUUGGGUUGCCUACAUUCUUUAAUUACAGUGCAUUCAUCUAAUCUGAAUGACUGAUUCUGGGCUGAGCACUAUGUUGUUUACGUUUCCAGAAGUUUACUCGAUGAUUGAUUUAUGAAGUGCAGUAUGUUUAGAUGUUGACGUGCAUUUUGGGGAUGGAUCUUGGUAGCUGCACACACUACCUCAUCACCUUGUUGGUAGCUCAACCGGUGUUAUAAAUGGUGUUUUUGGUGGUCUGUCGUUUGCUUGGUUCAUGUUGUGGUGAGACGCUGGUAGCGUCGUGAAGGUUAUAUAUAUGCUGGUUAUAUCUGUUUCUGCCUGUCUGUGAUAUUUCUUUUGGUCAGUUAUACCUCUUUAUAGAGGAAAUGCUGCCAAAAUGUCCUAUUUUUCAUAUAAAUAGGCUUAGUUGUAAAGUAGGGUGUUAC